AGAGUUUGAUCCUGGCUCAGAUUGAACGCUGGCGGCAGGCCUAACACAUGCAAGUCGAACGGUAGCAGGAAGUGCUUGCACUUCGCUGACGAGUGGCGGACGGGUGAGUAAUGCUUGAGAACUUGCCUUUAGGUGGGGGAUAACAGUUGGAAACGACUGCUAAUACCGCAUAAUGUCUACGGACCAAAGGGGGCUUCGGCUCUCGCCUUGAGAGAGGCCCAAGUGAGAUUAGCUAGUUGGUGGGGUAAAGGCCUACCAAGGCAACGAUCUCUAGCUGUUCUGAGAGGAAGAUCAGCCACACUGGGACUGAGACACGGCCCAGACUCCUACGGGAGGCAGCAGUGGGGAAUAUUGCACAAUGGGGGAAACCCUGAUGCAGCCAUGCCGCGUGUGUGAAGAAGGCCUUCGGGUUGUAAAGCACUUUCAGUUGUGAGGAAAGGUUGGUAGUUAAUACCUGCCAGCUGUGACGUUAACAACAGAAGAAGCACCGGCUAACUCCGUGCCAGCAGCCGCGGUAAUACGGAGGGUGCGAGCGUUAAUCGGAAUUACUGGGCGUAAAGCGCACGCAGGCGGCUUGUUGAGCUAGAGGUGAAAGCCCCGCGCUCAACGUGGGAACUGCCUUUAGAACUGGCAGGCUAGAGUCUUGGAGAGGGGAGUGGAAUUCCAGGUGUAGCGGUGAAAUGCGUAGAUAUCUGGAGGAACAUCAGUGGCGAAGGCGGCUCCCUGGCCAAGACUGACGCUCAUGUGCGAAAGUGUGGGUAGCGAACAGGAUUAGAUACCCUGGUAGUCCACACCGUAAACGCUGUCUACUAGCUGUUUGUGUAUUUAAUACGUGAGUAGCGAAGCUAACGCGCUAAGUAGACCGCCUGGGGAGUACGGCCGCAAGGUUAAAACUCAAAGGAAUUGACGG
rnacentral:rRNA from 1 species